GGGGAUGUUUCAAAGUUGAUGGCACGUACCAAACGAGAACAGCACGCCUAGUACCAGAGCUAGUCAAAGCUGGACUGCAGAAAUGCAAAGAACUUAGUUGCGAAAGUUGCAAACCUUUUCAAGGUUCCAGCGUUCGCAUCCGUUGUUGCAUAAUAGUGUAACAACCGCUCCUCCGUCCGCGUCCGACGGCCGGAACGGGUGUCAUCUUUCGGACCCGAUCGCAUGUUUCGCCACAUGAGCGUGCGCAUCGGUACUUUCAGUGGCUCGGAUAACGGCGCCGGUCAGUGGGCUCAAUCGUUGUCUUAAAUCAAUGCGCUGACUACGCGUUGUAGACGUUUUCGCACGGUCGUUGCCAGACAGGGGUGCGAUGCCCCUCAUCUCCACCA
rnacentral:tmRNA from 2 species